GACGAACGCUGGCGGCGUGCCUAAUACAUGCAAGUAGAACGCUGAAGAGAGGAGCUUGCUCUUCUUGGAUGAGUUGCGAACGGGUGAGUAACGCGUAGGUAACCUGCCUUGUAGCGGGGGAUAACUAUUGGAAACGAUAGCUAAUACCGCAUAACAAUGGAUGACACAUGUCAUUUAUUUGAAAGGGGCAAUUGCUCCACUACAAGAUGGACCUGCGUUGUAUUAGCUAGUAGGUGAGGUAAUGGCUCACCUAGGCGACGAUACAUAGCCGACCUGAGAGGGUGAUCGGCCACACUGGGACUGAGACACGGCCCAGACUCCUACGGGAGGCAGCAGUAGGGAAUCUUCGGCAAUGGGGGCAACCCUGACCGAGCAACGCCGCGUGAGUGAAGAAGGGUUUCGGAUCGUAAAGCUCUGUUGUAAGUCAAGAACGGGUGUGAGAGUGGAAAGUUCACACUGUGACGGUAGCUUAACAGAAAGGGACGGCUAACUACGUG
rnacentral:rRNA from 1 species